AACGAACGCUGGCGGCAGGCUUAACACACGCAAGUCGAACGCCCCGCAAGGGGAGUGGCAGGCGGGUGAGUAACGCGUGGGAACAUACCCUUUUCUACGGAAUAGCUCUGGGAAACUGGAAUUAAUACCGUAUACGCCCUACGGGGGAAAGAUUUAUCGGGGAAGGAUUGGCCCGCGUUGGAUUAGCUAGUUGGUGGGGUAAAGGCCUACCAAGGCGACGAUCCAUAGCUGGUCUGAGAGGAUGAUCAGCCACAUUGGGACUGAGACACGGCCCAAACUCCUACGGGAGGCAGCAGUGGGGAAUAUUGGACAAUGGGCGCAAGCCUGAUCCAGCCAUGCCGCGUGAGUGAUGAAGGCCUUAGGGUUGUAAAGCUCUUUCACCGAUGAAGAUAAUGACGGUAGUCGGAGAAGAAGCCCCGGCUAACUUCGUG
rnacentral:rRNA from 1 species